rnacentral:piRNA from 1 species
UGAGAGGCUAUGAGAGAGAAGUGAGU